UACGUAGGGUGCAAGCGUUAAUCGGAAUUACUGGGCGUAAAGCGUGCGCAGGCGGUGAUGUAAGACAGGUGUGAAAUCCCCGGGCUUAACCUGGGAACUGCAUUUGUGACUGCAUCGCUGGAGUGCGGCAGAGGGGGAUGGAAUUCCGCGUGUAGCAGUGAAAUGCGUAGAUAUGCGGAGGAACACCGAUGGCGAAGGCAAUCCCCUGGGCCUGCACUGACGCUCAUGCACGAGAGCGUGGGGAGCAAACAGG
rnacentral:rRNA from 1 species